rnacentral:pre_miRNA from 1 species
CGUGCACCAGUGGGGUCCCUCGGCCUGGCCUGCACCUUCUCACAAUCCAGGACCGCUCAGGGGAUGUUGGAGAUCCGGUUUCAGCCAGAUCCCGCAGGCCAGGCUGAGGGACCCCACUGGUGCACA